rnacentral:tmRNA from 1 species
GUCCGUUUCGGCGGGCUAUGGUGAUAAACUGCGGUGUGUAAUAGACGCAACGGACCCGGGGGCAGUACCCGGCGGCUCCACCA